rnacentral:rRNA from 1 species
UGCUCCCCCGCCAAUUCCUUUAAGUUCAGCCUUGCGGCCGUACUUCCCAGGUGGCUCGCUUCACGGCUUCCCUACGGCACCGACAACGGUCGCACCGUGGCCGACACCUAGCGAGUAUCGUUUACGGCUAGGACUACCCGGGUAUCUAAUCCGGUUCGUGCCCCUAGCUUUCGUCCCUUGCCGUCAGGUCCGUUCUGGUGAGACGCCUUCGCCACUGGUGGUCCUUCAAGGAUUACAAGAUUUCACCCCUACCCCUGAAGUACCUCUCACCUCUCCCGGCCUCGAGCCGAACAGUAUCUCCCGAAAGCCCAACAGUUGAGCUGCUGGAUUUCUCAAGAGACUUAUCCGGCCGGCUACAGACCCUUUAGACCCAAUAAUAACGGUUACCACUCGAGCCGCCGGUGUUACCGCGGCGGCUGGCACCGGUCUUGCCCGGCCCUUGCUAUGCAAUGCUUUUUAGGCAUCACGACAGCCAGAUUUGUAACCUGGCACUCGAGGUCCCCUUAUCGCCGUUGCCGGCAUUGUAAAGUUUUCGCGCCUGCUGCACCCCGUAGGGCCUGGAUUCGUGUCUCAGAAUCCAUCUCCGGGCUCUUGCUCUCACAACCCGUACCCGUCGUAGGCUAGUAGGUACGCUACACCCACUACUACCUGAUAGGCCGCAGACCCAUCCUCUGGCGCCGGAGCUUUCGAUCUCGGGGCAUUCCAGCGACCGAGAUCUAUCGGGGAUUAUACCCAGUUUCCCGGGUUUAUACCCGUCCGGAGGGUAGGUUGUCCACGUGUUACUGAGCAGUACGCCAUGUAUUGCUACAUUCGACUCGCAUGGCUUAGUCGAACCUCAAUA